rnacentral:rRNA from 1 species
AUGGUUGUCGUCAGCUCGUGCCGUGAGGUGUCGGCUUAAGUGCCAUAACGAGCGCAACCCUCAUCAUUAGUUACCAUCAGGUCAAGCUGGGGACUCUAAUGAGACUGCCAUCGUAAGAUGCGAGGAAGUGGGGAUGACGUCAAAUCAGCACGGCCCUUACGUCCGGGGCGACACACGUGUUACAAUGGGUGGUACAAAGGGCAGCUACCUGGCGACAGGAUGCUAAUCUCCAAAACCGCUCUCAGUUCGGAUCGGAGUCUGCAACUCGACUCCGUGAAGCUGGAUUCGCUAGUAAUCGCGCAUCAGCCACGGCGCGGUGAAUACGUUCCCGGGCCUU